CAACAACGCAGCCGGGCUUCUACCAAAUCCUGUCGCUGAUCCUCAAACUGGAAUGCGGGGAUUAAUAAACUCCAUACUACUCAUUCAUGGGCGUUCCUCGAAGUCAAUGUUAUUCCACAGUAUAAUCAACUGGUAAGGAAUCCAAACCUGAAGUGAUCGUUGGCAUCCGAGAUUCUGGAAGAUAUGCAGCUGAAUUUCCAGUUCAUUCAUAGUGUAUUGAGUACUGAUAUGGAAGCGCUUCAAAAUUUAACUGCUGAAUGUGAUUUGGAUUCAAAACAGGGGUCUGAUUAUGGUGAGAAAGAAGUGGUGGAGGGGAAUGUGUUAAUGCUGGAGUGGUUGGCUGGCU